AAAAAAUCCCAGUGACUCAGCACAGUGAGCGAGGAGCACAAUAGGGUGGUUACCCAGACAGGACGUCCAUCUAGGAGCCCUGCGGGAGGCAUGCAGGUAUUUCUCUGGAGGUCAUGCCUGGCAGGCGUCCACUGUUAGAGCCAGAGGACCCGGAGCAUUAUCUGAAUGAACUAAUGACCAACAGGCGGGCAGAAAUGAGUGCUGCGGAUUGAUAACAGGGACAGCCAGACCCCCUCCCAUCCCCACGAGGCAGAGGCACCAGGGAACAACUGCAGAGUUCUGACUACUCAAUCACAGUGCAAUGAGUAAUGGAAGGCUACGUAGUGGCAAGAAUUGAAAAGAAGACCAGGCGCAGUGGCUCACGCCUGGAAUCCGAGCACUUUGGGAAGCCAAAGCAGGAGGAUUGCUUGAGCUCAGGAAUUCGAGAGCUUGAGACUAGCCUAAGCAACAUAGCCACCUGGCUUUCCCACACAUCAACCUCGUGCUCACACCCCACUCUGGAGACCACCAGCUUCGAGGCAAAAAGAGAGAACGACGUACAAUGGGCAUCUUCCCUCAUCCACCCCAUUUCAAAGAGGGUUCUGCUUGCAGGAACUCAAAGCUCAGAGCUUUUAGCUUCCCAAAGCCCUAUUUCCAAACUAAAGCAAAGGUCCUUUAGAAUUUGCACGGCGGGCUGUGCAAAAUGAGAGAGAAGGAAAUCGCUGGCAGAAAUAUCCCCGAAGAAGGGAUUUCUCCCCCAAAGACCAGAAAGCAAUUCUUCUAGGUUAGGGGAAUGAGGAGACAUACAGAGAAAACAAGAGGCUUGGGAGUUCCUCAUGAAAGGACUGGACCUGGAGUGGCCAUGCAGGAGAGGUGCAAGGGACUUGGAGCCCCUGAAGCUUCAGGAGAGCUGCGUGGCCCAUGUCCUGCUGCACCGGCAGCCAUCACGCCCAUGAGCCCUGCCUGUGUCCAGAAACAGUGCUGCUGUCCUUGACCUCGUCACUCUGCAAGGACUUCGCUUCCCCAGCAGGCAGUUCACCUCUGGAUACCCCUCCCUGAUGCAAACUUUGCUCAUGUCAUGUCUAUCAAGAUCAAGAAAAUGGAGCCCAUAACUGAGAUCAGCACAUGGGUAAGGAAACUGCUGAAUGGAAGGAGCUCCAAGACCUGGAACUGAGACCGAAGCUGGCAACAUGGCGGGAUGUUGCACCCCCCACACACACGCUCACACGUGGUUUUCAUUCCUUCUUUCAUAUUACGGCGGGCGUGGAAUUACCAGUCAAUUUGACAUUUAUAAAUACAUUAACUAGCGCUUCCAAUUCUUCUCCUGCUUCCAAGUUUGUUCUCACCACCUCACAGAAAAUGCUGGGGACAGAAUUAAAUGCAGAGUAAUCUAAACAAGCUUUGAUAUGUCAUAUGUCUUUCCUACUGAAUAAGCUAAACCAACCAGGGUAAUUUAGUGAUACUUGGGCAAGAAAACUAGGAAUUACGCACACUUUCCUUUUCCAAAUUCCCCACAUGGAAGUCUGUGAAUUCUACUGCAAUUACAGUGGUAUAAUAAAAAAGAUAUGCUUGGCU
rnacentral:lncRNA from 1 species